UAAGCGGAGGAAAAGAAACCAACAGGGAUUGCCCCAGUAACGGCGAGUGAAGCGGCAACAGCUCAAAUUUGAAAUCUGGUCCCUAGGGCCCGAGUUGUAAUUUGUAGAGGAUGCUUUUGGUGAGGUGCCGCCCGAGUUCCCUGGAACGGGACGCCACAGAGGGUGAGAGCCCCGUCUGGCUGGCCGCCGAGCCUCUGUAAAGCUCCUUCGACGAGUCGAGUAGUUUGGGAAUGCUGCUCAAAAUGGGAGGUAUAUGUCUUCUAAAGCUAAAUAUUGGCCAGAGACCGAUAGCGCACAAGUAGAGUGAUCGAAAGAUGAAAAGCACCUUGAAAAGAGGGUUAAAUAGUACGUGAAAUUGUUGAAAGGGAAGCGCUUGUGACCAGACUUGGGCGCGGCGGAUCAUCCGGGGUUCUCUCCGGUGCACUUCGCCGCGUCUAGGCCAGCAUCAGUUCGUCGCGGGGGAAAAAGGCUUCGGGAACGUGGCUCCUCCGGGAGUGUUAUAGCCCGU
rnacentral:rRNA from 1 species